CAGGAAGUUACACUUCAGGGGCCCAUUGUAGUCAAAACUGAUUUGUUUCUGUUGGAAAUCAUUCCAGUGUAACGCCAAACCAUGAGCAAACAUAAAAGCAAAGCGCCAAGAGGAAUCAGCAAAGGGCGAGGUCGGCUCGGGGUUUGUUCUCCCAGAAUGCAGAACGGACGGCUCCGGACAACAGCGUGAGAUGAAAUUACGCCCAGUAAUGGGAGAGGAAAUAAGGAACACCUUCUGCGAUUAA